rnacentral:misc_RNA from 1 species
ACACCAGUACCUCUAGAUGUAGCUGAUCAAUAAACCAUUGGAUUGAGUAGCCUGCCGAAUUCAUUCAUCAUCUAAAAUAAAAGAUGCUAAUCAAGCAUCAAUUGAACUUCCUUCAUAGGUACAUACACCUGUUGACUUAUAUGUUGGUGGUGUUUGAUGCAUUCAUUUUAAUUAGGAAUACUAGGUGCAGAAUCAUAUGCUGCACUAACUGAAUGAGAAUACUAUAGGUAUCAAGAAAUCAGAGAAUUGCUGGUGAGUUG